GACUCUUGAACGGUCUCUCUUCGUAAAUCUUCAGGAACGGUUUGGUGAACCAACAGGCUGACAUAAUCUGUCGGCGGUGCUGCUAAUGGCAGUAAUGAAGGAAACGACAGGCCCAGCAUUUGGUAAUCUUGAGGCGCGCCAGAACUCCAUGCACCAUAAGAAGCUUUGCCAUGUGGGAAGAGCUUAAUAUGAAGCUGUUUCUUUUGAGCCUAAACUCAGCUUCAAGGGGCAAAUGUGAGUUGCCCUGUAUACCCAAGUGUUCCUGAGCGUAUGGUCAUUGGCAUGGUCUACCAGAUGACCACAAGAUGGCUCUCAAGCCGUGAUGCCCAACAAGGGCUCUUUUGGCCUGUCAUGUGCUGAGGGGUCUGAGAAGGUAAUGAUUAAAAGUAUAUCAGGACUGGUCUUCUGCUCCAAUACACCAGGACCUGGCUGAAUGAUUUGAUCUCCCAGUGAAGGUUGAGCUUGCCUGGCCUACUGUAAUGACCAGAGUAAGGUGAGAAGCUACUCAGUGCAAUGUGUGCCGGAUCAUUUUCAAAGGGGGCCUGUCAGGCUUUCCCACUGCCUGUCCUUCACGCAGUGAUCCCACAGCAGCGCCCCUGGUGACAAACGGCAGAUCCUUUUUGCCAUGGGUGUUCUGCAGUCUCCACAGGCAACACAACUUUUAUCGCCCAAUACUACAUCAGUGGUUAAAGCAGAACAUCUGCACCUAGAUCUAUGCAUGAAGGAAAUUGGUCAUGGGUUGUGGUUUUUCAAAUGUAUUUCUAUCAACAGGUGAUCUGUAUGUUUCAGCCCUGCGUACACCCAUCAAGUUAAGACGUUCAUUUCUUCAAACUCAUCAAGAUGAAUGUCUUUCUCCAAGCAUUGAUUUAGAAUGCAUUUGAAGAUGGCACAAUCUGACCAGUUGAGUUUCUAACAAUUUCAAUAAAACGUUUGGUUAUCGAA